CAGACCAAGGCAAACUACCAACCAGACAAGGACGACAACAGCAUUACGAAAUGGGCACUUCUAUGUGUAAAACUGUGUUGUAGAGCAAUUUUAACCUCCUUGUGUUUACACUGAAGAAUAGAUGAGCAAGUGCUGUUCAUCAUGGGCCUGUCUCAAUGUUUUUUUCUAAAGAUUAUUUUCUGGAGAAAAAUUAU